rnacentral:rRNA from 1 species
GAUGAACGCUAGCGGCAGGCUUAAUACAUGCAAGUCGAGGGGCAGCAGUUUUGUAGCAAUACAGAAGCUGGCGACCGGCAAACGGGUGCGGAACACGUACGCAACCUUCCUCUAACUGGAAGAUAGCCCACCGAAAGGUGGAUUAAUAUUCCAUAGUAUAUUGAAAAGGCAUCUUUUUGAUAUUAAAGCUCCGGCGGUUAGAGAUGGGCGUGCGUCUGAUUAGGUAGUUGGCGGGGUAACGGCCCACCAAGCCUACGAUCAGUAGCUGAUGUGAGAGCAUGAUCAGCCACACGGGCACUGAGACACGGGCCCGACUCCUACGGGAGGCAGCAGUAAGGAAUAUUGGUCAAUGGGCGCAAGUCUGAACCAGCCAUGCCGCGUGGAGGAUGAAGGCCCUCUGGGUUGUAAACUUCUUUUCUUUGGGGCGAAACCCCUGUUUCUACGGGGACUGACGGUACCAGAGGAAUAAGCACCGGCUAACUCCGUGCCAGCCGCCGCAGUAAUAC